AAAAGAUGGGGAGCGGUAUAACUCAAAAUUUGAAUUGCUUUGUUCUUAUUUUUGUUUUUGUUUUUGUUUUAGAUGAAACAGUUAUUUACUUUGUUGCCACUGAGGAAAUGUAUGCUAUACUUUCAAACAGAAUCACACAGCUGUAGACAAUGUUAACUGCUUAACACAUAUUUUGUUUUGACAAUGACCCGAAAACGCAUAAAGCCAAAAUAAGCCGUGAAUCAAUAAAACAUUUCUGAAACUUUGCAAUCGCUUUUCUACAAAGUUUAAACGCUCUGAACUUUUAAUUAUUGAUAUAGAUUUAUUAUUCAAUAUGUAUGUUCUGCUUUACUUUUUCCUUAAAUAAAUCAUUUUAAUUAAAUUGUCAAAUUUUGUUUAAAAUUAUUUUUUAGAAAUAUUCUGUACAUGUUAUAAUAC
rnacentral:lncRNA from 1 species